UGGGGAAUAUUGGGCAAUGGGGGAAACCCUGACCCAGCAACGCCGCGUGAGUGAAGAAGUAUUUCGGUAUGUAAAGCUCUAUCAGCAGGGAAGAAAAUGACGGUACCUGACUAAGAAGCCCCGGCUAACUACGUGCCAGCAGCCGCGGUAAUACGUAGGGGGCAAGCGUUAUCCGGAUUUACUGGGUGUAAAGGGAGCGUAGACGGCGAUGCAAGUCUGAAGUGAAAGCCCCGGGCUCAACCUGGGUACUGCUUUGGAAACUGUAUUGCUGGAGUGCUGGAGAGGUAAGCGGAAUUCCUAGUGUAGCGGUGAAAUGCGUAGAUAUUAGGAGGAACACCAGUGGCGAAGGCGGCUUACUGGACAGUAACUGACGUUGAGGCUCGAAAGCGUGGGGAGCAAACAGGAUUAGAUACCCUGGUAGU
rnacentral:rRNA from 1 species